rnacentral:ncRNA from 1 species
UUACUCUGGAGAAUCCCGCAGAAAGUGCGGGUGCCGAAGGUGCAAGGCGCAAGCCGAAUCUCUCAGGCAAAAGAACGGAGCAGA